UAUAAGGGCGUAUGGUGGAUGCCUAGGGAUAUCGAGGCGAUGAAGGACGUUGCGUGCCUGCGAUAAGCUACGGGGAGGUGGCAAGCAACCUUUGAUCCGUAGAUUUCCGAAUGGGGAAACCCCGCCGUGAAAUGAGUGCUCGGAGCGUACCCGCUGAAGUGAAACAUCUCAGUAAGCGGAGGAAAAUAAAAAAAUUCCCUUAGUAGCGGCGAGCGAAAAGGGAUCAGCCUAGAUUGAGCAUUUUUCAGAUUAUAUCAAAAAAUUUGCUUGAAGUUAUAAGACAUGAUUAUGGUUUAAUCCGAGAGGGAAGCGUUAUAUUAGAAGAACGGUCCUGGAAAGGCCGGCCAAAGCGGGUAAUAGCCCCGUAUUCGAAAAUUUAAACGCACUCUUUAUCAUGUUCUUGAGUACUGCCCCGUAUGAAGUCUGGGCAGGAAGUAGGCGGAACUAGACCGCCAAGGCUAAAUACUCGAUGUCACCGAUAGUGAACCAGUACCGUGAGGGAAAGGUGAAAAGUAGCCCGUUUAGGGCAGUGAAAUAGUACCUGAAACCAUACGUUUACAAGGAGACAACGCCCGAAACCCGCAAGGGUUUUUAGGGCUAUGUCGUGCCUAUUGAAGAAUGAGCCAACGAGUUCUUGGAUUCUACUCGUUUAAGUGCCCAACGGCACAAAAGCAUAGCGAAAGCGAGUGUUAAUAGCGCGUUUUAGUUCUUAAAUUCAAAAGACCCGAAACCUCGUGAGCUUACCAUGAGCAGGUUGAACCCCUGAGAAAUCAGGGGGGAGGACCGAACCGGUUGGUCGUGCAACGCCUUCGGAUGACUUGUGGUAAGGAGUGAAAAGCUAAUCGAACGAGGAAAUAGCUGGUUCUCUCCGAAAUAGUUUUUGGACUAGCCUCGGAUCAUGAGGGGAAGAGCCCAGACCAUAAACUAAGGUCCCCAAAUCUAUGUUAAGUGGCAAAGGUGGUGGAAAUUCUCAAACAGCAAGGAGGUUGGCUUAGAAGCAGCCAUCCUUUAAAGAGUGCGUAACAGCUCACUUGUCAAGAGUUUCUGCGCCUAAAAUUUAACGGGGCUAAACAUAGUACCGAAGUUAUGGGUGUCGUGCCUCACUCGUGUGAGGCACGCGGUAGGAGAGCAUUUCAAACGCAGUGAAGGUUGACCCGCGAGGGCAACUGGAGUGUUUGGAAGAGAGAAUGUUGGCACAAGUAACCACAAGACAGGUGAAAACCCUGUCCGCCGAAAACCCAAGGUUUCCUUGGCAAUGCCAAUCAUCCAAGGUUUAGUCGGCCCUAAGGCCAUGGCGAAAGCCGUAACCGAUGGACAGCUGGUUAAUAUUCCAGCACUGUUUUACGCAUCGAUGGCGUGACGGAGCAAAGUAUAUUAAGCAUAUUAUUGGAUUUAUGUUCGUGUCUUAAGGAUUGAGCGUAGGCAAAUCCGCGCUCGGGGGUUAUGCCCGAAUCCAAAUGAAGCGAAAAUCAUGCGGGGCAACCCAAUUGAAAUUUAAUAAAGCUUGCUUCCCAGAAAAACGUCUAAGAUUAUGCGUAAAGCAACCGUACCGGAAACCGACACAGGUGGGUUGGUCGAGUAGACUAAGGCGAACGAGUGAGUCUUCGUUAAGGAACUAGGCAAAAAAGCAGCCGUAAGUUCGCAAUAUGGCUUGCCCGGCAACUCCAGCAUAAGUUAAAAUUAUUAUUUGUCAAGUCGUAAUUCAAAAGGUGCUGGGCUGCAACAAAAGUACCUCUAGCGACUGUUUACCAAAAACACAGGUCCCUGCUAACUCGUAAGAGGAUGUAUAGGGGCUGACGCCUGACCGAUGCGGGAAGGUUAAGCAUUGUUGUUAUGGGAUUGAGAUUAUAUCAAUGUUUUAUAGCGCAUGAUGCCAAGCCCCCGUCAAUGUCAGCAAUAACUAUAAUUGUUCUAAGGUGCGGUUGUUAUAGUAACAACAUGAGCGCAAUUCCUUUUCGGGUAAGUUCCGAAGCGCACGAAAGGCGUAACGACUGGAGGACUGUCUCAACGAAGAGCUCGGUGAAAAUACAAUGCCGGUGAAGAUGCCGGCUACCUGCAGUUAGACGAAAAGACCCCGGGAGCUUUACUGUAGCUUGAUAUUGGGUCUAGACCUGAUUGAGACAGUGUCUGGUGGGCAGUUUGUUUGGGGCGAAAUUCUCCUAAAAAGUAACGGAGAAGUCCAAAGGUCAGCUUAAGACGGAUGGAAACCGUCUGUGACGUGUAAAGGCAAAAGCUGGCUUAACUCCGAGGCGGACAUGCCGAGGAGAUACGAAAGUAUGGCUUAGUGAACCGAUGGCCAUGAGGCCAAAGAUUAACGGAUAAAAGCUACCCCGGGGAUAACAGGCUAGUCGCUUCCAAGAGUCCAUAUCGACGAAGCGGAUCGGCACCUUGAGGUCCCAAGCGUUCGGCUGUUCGCCGAUUAAAAAGUUACGCGAGCUGGGUUCAAACCGUCACGUGAGACAGGUUGGUCUCCUAUCUACUGCAGGCGCAAGAUACUUGAGGGAAGUCGUCCUUUGUACGAGAGGAUCAGGAUGAACGAACCUCUGGUCUAUCGGCUGUCACGCCCGUGGCACUGCCGAGUAGCUAUGUUCGGAAGGGAUAACCGCUGAAAGCAUCUAAGCGGGAAGCCCCUCCCAAGAUUAGGUAUCUCGAUAGAUCCGUGAGAGAUUAUCACGUUAAUAGGCUUCAGGUGUAAGUGGAGCAAUCCAUUCAGCCGAGAAGUACUAAUAGAUCAU
rnacentral:rRNA from 1 species